AGUCGAAAUGCGGUAGAGAAUCAGCCCUCCGCCGCAUCUGCCGGAGAUGGUCUCCCGGCACUGAUGAGACAGACCGGA
rnacentral:hammerhead_ribozyme from 1 species